rnacentral:misc_RNA from 1 species
CUGCUCGACCAUAGGGAAGAAGAGGAGCCGGCUGGGUGGAAAGACGGACAGGGCGUUGCAGGGAUAUGGGAGCGGCUGCUCUCUACUCUUGGGGAAGAAGGGCGCCGCUGGCUUCUGCUGGCCGUAGAGCAAGGGGACGAAAGCCGGCUGGAGAUGUGGCACAGGGAGCGCGGGAUUCAUCACCUGAGCAGGGAGUUGGCCAUGGGCGACGGUGGCUCACCAGCUCGAGCUCGAACCAGAGAAGUGCCCUGCGCCAUGGCUGGAGCAGAAGGGCUCGCGUCGAGUCCUGGCAGGUCGAGCUCGGCCAAGGGGAAAAAGGGGUGCCCGCGCCCAUGGAAGAAGAAGGCACCGGGAGCUUGGAAGGGUUGCGCAGGGGAGGGACGUUGUCCAUGGGAGGGAGCCGCCAGCUUGGAGGAAUGGAGCUCGGCGGCCAUGGAGUUUCUGCCCCUGCGCACGUACAAGAAACAGAGAGAAGGGGCUGCUGUGCAGAGGAGGCCGGCCAGGGGGUGGAGAAGGGAGCCGAGCACAUGGGCUCUGGACGCCAUGGCCGUGGCUGCUGGCCGAGCAGGGAGGAACAGGGGGAGGGCUGGGCGUCCAUGGCAGGAGCGUCGGCAAGGGGAGGAAGAAGACUGUUGGCUGAAAGAAGAAGAGAGAGUGGCGGCUAGGGGGGUAGAUGAAUAA